rnacentral:rRNA from 1 species
GACGAACGCUGGCGGCGUGCCUAAUACAUGCAAGUCGAACGCAGUGGGGACGGGUGAGUAACACGUUGGUCACCUCGCAUCAGAGGAGAUAACACUUGGAAACAGGUGCUAAACCGCUACUGAUGGAUGAACACGCGGUGCAUUAGCUAGUUGGUGGGGUAACGGCUCACCAAGGCCACGAUGCAUAGCCGACCGGGGAGGGUGAUCGCCCGAACGGGGACGGAGAAACGCCCCAGACUCCGACGGGAGGCAGAAGUAGGGAAUCUCCGGCAAUGGAGGAAAGUCUGACCGAGCAAGGCGGCGUGAGGGAAGAAGGUUUUGGGAUCGUAAAACUCGUUUGUUAGAGAAGCGGUAUCUAACCAGAAAGCCACGGCUAACUACGUGCCAGCAGCCGCGGUAAUAC